rnacentral:lncRNA from 1 species
GGUAAUCCAUCAACGUAAUUCACUAUAUAAACAAACUCAAAGAAAAAAAAACUACAUGAUUAUCUCAUUAGAUGCUGAGAAAGCAUUUGACAAAAUUCAACAUCCCUUCAUGAUAAACAUCUUGGAAAGAUUAGGAAUUCAAGGCCCAUACCUAAACACAGUAAAAGCAAUAUACAGCAAACCAAUAGCCAACAUCAAACUAAAUGGAGAGAAACUUGAAACACUAUGACUGAAAUCAGUGACUAGACAAGGCUGGCCACUCUCUCUAUAUCUAUUCACCAUAGUACUUGAAGUCCUAGCCAAAGCAAUUAGACAACAAAAGGAGAUCAAAGGGAUAUAAAUUGGAAAGGAAGAAGUCAAAAUAUCACUAUUUGCAGGUGAUUAUUCUUUGCAGAGGACCCACGUUCAAUUCUCAGCAACCCACGUGGCAGCUUGCAGCCACCUGUAACUUCAUAUUUCCUGGGCACACGGGUGGCAUACAUAUAGGUAAAAUACUCAGACAAUAAAAAUAAAUAUAUCUUUAAAAGAAAGACUAGAGAAAGCUAACUGAGCUCUAAGCAUGCACACAUUUAUUGCAAACAGAUAUACAUGCAGGUAAAAUAUUCACAUAAUAAAAUAAAUGUAUUUUUAAAAGAAUAGAAAAAGCUGAUUACUGAGCUUGCAUAUUUAUUUUUUCUCUGCUGGUGAUUGUAGCUGUGACAUGACCAACUGCCUUAUGCUCCUGCUGCAGUGAUGAGUUAGAAUCUGGAAUUGUG